ACUUGCUCUGCAAGCAUCCGUUAAACUUGGAACGAUACAGAGAAGAUUAGCAUGGCCCCAGCGCAUGGAUGACACGCAAGACUCGAGAAGAAGUCCCUUUUUCC
rnacentral:snRNA from 2 species